CAUUGUCGCCUUCCUGGUGCUAGUAUGUGCUCUACUCUUUGUUAUCAGGGCUCAGAGGACUCAACACAACCUGCUUAAGAGUCAGGGUCAGGUAACGCCAGCACAGUUGCUAUGAGCCAACAUCUACCAAGUGGAAAAGGAGAUGAGGAACCCAACAAAACAAAUGAGGGCAUUUAUGCUAACACCAC